GACGAACGCUGGCGGCGUGCCUAAUACAUGCAAGUUGAGCGAUGAAGAUUGGUGCUUGCCCCAAUUUGAAGAGCAGCGAACGGGUGAGUAACGCGUGGGGAAUCUGCCUUUGAGCGGGGGACAACAUUUGGAAACGAAUGCUAAUACCGCAUAACAACUUUAAACAUAAGUUUUAAGUUUGAAAGAUGCAAUUGCAUCACUCAAAGAUGAUCCCGCGUUGUAUUAGCUAGUUGGUGAGGUAAAGGCUCACCAAGGCGAUGAUACAUAGCCGACCUGAGAGGGUGAUCGGCCACAUUGGGACUGAGACACGGCCCAAACUCCUACGGGAGGCAGCAGUAGGGAAUCUUCGGCAAUGGACGAAAGGCUGACCGAGCAACGCCGCGUGAGUGAAGAAGGUUUUCGGAUCGUAAAACUCUGUUGGUAGAGAAGAACGUUGGUGAGAGUGGAAAGCUCAUCAAGUGACGGUAACUACCCAGAAAGGGACGGCUAACUACGUG
rnacentral:rRNA from 1 species